ensembl:lncRNA
UUUUUCCACUGCCUCCAUGGAUUCUGUUGAGAAAAAAUAAACUAUAAAACCAUGAACCUUGUUUAUAAACUUUUGUUUAUAGUGUUGCUUUCCUCUCACUGCUUUCAAAGUUCUUUCUUUGUCCUUGUCUUUUAACAGCUUGAUUAUUACGUGUCUCAGUGUGGAUCUCUUUGUGUUCAUCUUGUGUAUCUGGAGAUUUGUUGAACUUCUUGGAUAGUUGGUUCAUGUCUUUUAUCAAAUUUAGGAAAAUUUUGAGCAUAUUUCUUCAAAUAUUUUUUUUCUGCCUCUUUCUCUGCAUGUGUAUACGCUCAGUCCCUAAGUCAUGUCUGACUCUUUGUGACCCCAAGCACUGUGGCCUGCCAGGUUCUUCUUUCCAUGGGAUUUCCCAGGCAAGAAUGCUGGAGCGGGUUGUCUUUUUCUUCUCUGGGGGAUCUUCCUUACCCACGGGUUGAACCCACAUCGCUUACAUUUGCAGGAGGAUUAUUUACCACAGAGCCACCUGGGAAGCCUCCUCUCUUGUUGGGACUCUCAUGUGUAUGCUGGUGGAGUUGAUGGAGUCCUUAAUGUUUGGAGAGAUGUCUUCCACGUGGCCAGUCAGCCCUGGUAGAGUUCCAAGUGAGGCCAAAAAAACAAUGGUGUGUGUAGGGGGGAGAAGGAUUCCUUUGCACAGGUUCUCCAGAGAAACUGCAGCCAGGCCAAACAAACAGGCACGGUUCCUCAGGGACAAGAUCUUCUCUUGCUCGCCCUGAGGCUGAUUUCCAUACUGAGGCUGAUUUCCAUACUGAGACUGUGUGCUGCUGCCUUUAAGACCACUGCACUGCCACAAUGAGAGAACGAAGGGGCUAAGUAAUCUGGUUCUGAGGCUUGGAGAAGAUAAGGGGAAUUAGAGGAGGAGCCAGGCCAGGCAUCUCCUGGGUCACUCACGGUGCUAGAAGACGUCUGCCUUCACCCACCGCCCCGUGUGAGCACGUGGCUGUCAGGCUGGAGAAGACUGACUCCUGUUUCCCAUGGGAUGGUCUGAGUCAAGGCUGCUCACACCUCCGUGUGCAUGAGAAUCACAUCAGAUGCUUGAGUUACAUGCUGUCGGGCCAGACCAGAAGAGGCUGA